AAUGUACAGGUGUAAACUGGCAGCAAAGAAAAAAGGGACACAGGACAGCUCAUUCUGAAGGCAAAUGGGAGAAUGGAGGGGGAGUGGCACUAACUUCCAGCUGUCCAUCGCCAUGGUGGCCAGAUUGUUGGGGUCCUGUUUGUUCCAGCAGAGCGUGAGUAUCAGGUGAUGCAAGGUGUGUUCAAGGUAGUGGAGGUCAAGUAUGCAGACCAAGCCGUCUGCUCCCACUGAGGCAAACAUAUUUCUGCCUCCAACCGCUCAGCUGAAAGAGAUGUCAUAGAUCUACAGUGCACAGUGAGUGGUGAGUUCUAAUCAGCUGAGACAACAAACCAGUGAAAAGCAUUUCACAUGGAAGAUGAGCAUGUUACACCGAGAGUAUGUCUCUGCAUGCAUGCUGACCAGAUUGACCCUUCCCACCAACUCUCCAGUCUCCAACCCCCAGAUCAUACAGGUGGUGUUGAUAUUCAAGGUACCUGCAAGGAACACAGGAGAUGUAAAGAAACUUUACACUGAUAAGUAUUGAUUCUACUACAUUGGUGAAGCUCAUCCUGUUUUCUGUGUGUUGUUGCAAUAACGUCUUGCAGUGUUGCACAGGAGUUGGAGUUCUUGUUGUUGUUGAGCAGGCGCUCCAGAUGGGUCUCUGUAUCACUCACCUUUCAAUGGGAAGACACAUUAUUUUCAAUAUUUAUUCACUUUGAUUCUCAGGCAGUCUCCACUGGUGGCCAGCAGGUCAGG